AAUUAUGGUGGGCUGAAUGAGGCUGGCUUCGGUCAGACCGUUUCCUUGAGUGCGGUAGUUCGAACCCGUUCAGCUCACCACCUUC
rnacentral:antisense_RNA from 1 species